CGGGGAGGUAGUGACGAAAAAUAACAAUACGGGACUCAUCCGAGGCCCCGUAAUUGGAAUGACUACAAUUUAAAUCCUUUAAGAAGGAUCCAUUGGAGGGCAAGUCUGGUGCCAGCAGCCGCGGUAAUUCCAGCUCCAAUAGCGUAUAUUAAAGUUGCUGCAGUUAAAAAGCUCGUAGUUGGAUCUCAGUUACGGGCAGGUGGUUCACUUUACAGUGCUACUACCUGAACCGAACCUAUUGCUGGAUCUCUUGGGUGCCCUUCACUGGGUGCCCCUUGAGACCAGAGCGUUUACUUUGAGAAAAUUAGAGUGCUCAAAGCAGGCGAAUGCCUGAAUAGUUGUGCAUGGAAUAAUGAAAUAUGGCCUCGGUACUGUUUUGUUGGUUCACGGUGCUCGAGGUAAUGGUUGAAAGGGACUGACGGGGGCAUUCGUAUUGCGACGUUAGAGGUGAAAUUCUUAGAUCGUCGCAAGACGGACUACUGCGAAAGCAUUUGCCAAGAAUGUCUUCAUUAAUCAAGAACGAAAGUCAGAGGUUCGAAGGCGAUCAGAUACCGCCCUAGUUCUGACCUUAAACGAUGCUAACUGGCGAUCCAGUAGGGGUAUUUAAAAUGACCUGCUGGGCAGCUUCUGGGAAACCAAAGUUUUUGGGUUCCGGGGGAAGUAUGGUUGCAAAGCUGGAACUUAAAGGAAUUGACGGAAGGGCACCACCAGGAGUGGAGCCUGUGGCUUAAUUUGACUCAACACGGGAAACCUCACCAGGCCCAGACACUAGAAGGAUUGACAGAUUGAGAGCUCUUUCUUGAUUUGGUGGAUGGUGGUGCAUGGCCGUUCUUAGUUGGUGGAGUGAUUUGUCUGGUUAAUUCCGAUAACGAACGAGACUUUAGCCUACUAAAUAGAUGGCAGAUACUCAAAAGAGUCUGCAUCGUCUUCUUAGAGGGACAAGGCAGCUUCAAGCUGCAUGAG
rnacentral:rRNA from 1 species